UCCAGACUCCUACGGGAGGCAGCAGUGGGGGAUAUUGCACAAUGGGGGGAACCCUGAUGCAGCGACGCCGCGUGGGUGAAGGAGCGUUUCGGCGCGUAAAGCCCUAUCGGCAGGGAAGAAGGGGGGCGGUACCUGACUAAGAAGCCCCGGCUAACUACGUGCCAGCAGCCGCGGUAAUACGUAGGGGGCAAGCGUUAUCCGGAUUUACUGGGUGUAAAGGGGGCGCAGACGGCGGCGCAAGCCAGGAGUGAAAGCCCGGGGCCCAACCCCGGGGCUGCUCUUGGAACUGCGCGGCUGGAGUGCAGGAGGGGCAGGCGGAAUUCCUGGUGUAGCGGUGAAAUGCGUAGAUAUCAGGAGGAACACCGGUGGCGAAGGCGGCCUGCUGGACUGCGACUGACGUUGAGGCCCGAAAGCGUGGGGAGCAAACAGGAUUAGAUACCCGAGUAAG
rnacentral:rRNA from 1 species